UUCACUUCUCACCCUUUUGGCUAAGAUCAAGUGUAGUAUCUGUUCUUACCAGUUUAAAAGCCGCCUAUACAUAGGUGAAACUUACAAGUUUCAACUAUAUUCAAAUAGUCUCU
rnacentral:snRNA from 1 species